AGCAGCCGCGGUAAUUCCAGCUCCGAUAGCGUAUAUUAAAGUUGUUGCAGUUAAAAAGCUCGUAGUUGAAUUUCGGGAUCAGUUGGUCGGUCGUGCCUCGGUACGUACUGGUCAAAUUGAUUCCUACCUUCUGACGAACCACGAUGUCAUUAAUUUGGUGUCGCGGGAAAUCAGGACUGUUACUUUGAAAAAAUUAGAGUGUUUAUAGCAGGCUCGCGCUUGAAUACAUUAGCAUGGAAUAAUGAAAUAGGACGUUUGAUUCUAUUUUGUUGGUUUCUAGGAUCGACGUAAUGAUUAAUAGGGAUAGUUGGGGGCAUUAGUAUUCAAUUGUCAGAGGUGAAAUUCUUGGAUUUAUUGAAGACUAACUACUGCGAAAGCAUUUGCCAAGGAUGUUUUCAUUAAUCAAGAACGAAAGUUAGGGGAUCGAAGACGAUCAGAUACCGUCGUAGUCUUAACCAUAAACUAUGCCGACUAGGGAUCGGAUGAUGUUAAUUUUUUAAUGACUCA
rnacentral:rRNA from 1 species